rnacentral:rRNA from 1 species
GGUUAAGCGACUAAGCGUACACGGUGGAUGCCCUGGCAGUCAGAGGCGAUGAAGGACGUGCUAAUCUGCGAUAAGCGUCGGUAAGGUGAUAUGAACCGUUAUAACCGGCGAUUUCCGAAUGGGGAAACCCAGUGUGAUUCGUCACACUAUCAUUAACUGAAUCCAUAGGUUAAUGAGGCGAACCGGGGAACUGAAACAUCUAAGUACCCCGAGGAAAAGAAAUCAACCGAGAUUCCCCCAGUAGCGGCGAGCGAACGGGGAGCAGCCCAGAGCCUGAAUCAGUGUGUGUGUUAGUGGAAGCGUCUGGAAAGGCGCGCGAUACAGGGUGACAGCCCCGUACACAAAAAUGCACAUGCUGUGAGCUCGAUGAGUAGGGCGGGACACGUGGUAUCCUGUCUGAAUAUGGGGGGACCAUCCUCCAAGGCUAAAUACUCCUGACUGACCGAUAGUGAACCAGUACCGUGAGGGAAAGGCGAAAAGAACCCCGGCGAGGGGAGUGAAAAAGAACCUGAAACCGUGUACGUACAAGCAGUGGGAGCACGCUUAGGCGUGUGACUGCGUACCUUUUGUAUAAUGGGUCAGCGACUUAUAUUCUGUAGCAAGGUUAACCGAAUAGGGGAGCCGAAGGGAAACCGAGUCUUAACUGGGCGUUAAGUUGCAGGGUAUAGACCCGAAACCCGGUGAUCUAGCCAUGGGCAGGUUGAAGGUUGGGUAACACUAACUGGAGGACCGAACCGACUAAUGUUGAAAAAUUAGCGGAUGACUUGUGGCUGGGGGUGAAAGGCCAAUCAAACCGGGAGAUAGCUGGUUCUCCCCGAAAGCUAUUUAGGUAGCGCCUCGUGAAUUCAUCUCCGGGGGUAGAGCACUGUUUCGGCAAGGGGGUCAUCCCGACUUACCAACCCGAUGCAAACUGCGAAUACCGGAGAAUGUUAUCACGGGAGACACACGGCGGGUGCUAACGUCCGUCGUGAAGAGGGAAACAACCCAGACCGCCAGCUAAGGUCCCAAAGUCAUGGUUAAGUGGGAAACGAUGUGGGAAGGCCCAGACAGCCAGGAUGUUGGCUUAGAAGCAGCCAUCAUUUAAAGAAAGCGUAAUAGCUCACUGGUCGAGUCGGCCUGCGCGGAAGAUGUAACGGGGCUAAACCAUGCACCGAAGCUGCGGCAGCGACGCUGAUGCGUUGUUGGGUAGGGGAGCGUUCUGUAAGCCUGCGAAGGUGUGCUGUGAGGCAUGCUGGAGGUAUCAGAAGUGCGAAUGCUGACAUAAGUAACGAUAAAGCGGGUGAAAAGCCCGCUCGCCGGAAGACCAAGGGUUCCUGUCCAACGUUAAUCGGGGCAGGGUGAGUCGACCCCUAAGGCGAGGCCGAAAGGCGUAGUCGAUGGGAAACAGGUUAAUAUUCCUGUACUUGGUGUUACUGCGAAGGGGGACGGAGAAGGCUAUGUUGGCCGGGCGACGGUUGUCCCGGUUUAAGCGUGUAGGCUGGUUUUCCAGGCAAAUCCGGAAAAUCAAGGCUGAGGCGUGAUGACGAGGCACUACGGUGCUGAAGCAACAAAUGCCCUGCUUCCAGGAAAAGCCUCUAAGCAUCAGGUAACAUCAAAUCGUACCCCAAACCGACACAGGUGGUCAGGUAGAGAAUACCAAGGCGCUUGAGAGAACUCGGGUGAAGGAACUAGGCAAAAUGGUGCCGUAACUUCGGGAGAAGGCACGCUGAUAUGUAGGUGAAGCGACUUGCUCGUGGAGCUGAAAUCAGUCGAAGAUACCAGCUGGCUGCAACUGUUUAUUAAAAACACAGCACUGUGCAAACACGAAAGUGGACGUAUACGGUGUGACGCCUGCCCGGUGCCGGAAGGUUAAUUGAUGGGGUCAGCGCAAGCGAAGCUCUUGAUCGAAGCCCCGGUAAACGGCGGCCGUAACUAUAACGGUCCUAAGGUAGCGAAAUUCCUUGUCGGGUAAGUUCCGACCUGCACGAAUGGCGUAAUGAUGGCCAGGCUGUCUCCACCCGAGACUCAGUGAAAUUGAACUCGCUGUGAAGAUGCAGUGUACCCGCGGCAAGACGGAAAGACCCCGUGAACCUUUACUAUAGCUUGACACUGAACAUUGAGCCUUGAUGUGUAGGAUAGGUGGGAGGCUUUGAAGUGUGGACGCCAGUCUGCAUGGAGCCGACCUUGAAAUACCACCCUUUAAUGUUUGAUGUUCUAACGUUGACCCGUGAUCCGGGUUGCGGACAGUGUCUGGUGGGUAGUUUGACUGGGGCGGUCUCCUCCUAAAGAGUAACGGAGGAGCACGAAGGUUGGCUAAUCCUGGUCGGACAUCAGGAGGUUAGUGCAAUGGCAUAAGCCAGCUUGACUGCGAGCGUGACGGCGCGAGCAGGUGCGAAAGCAGGUCAUAGUGAUCCGGUGGUUCUGAAUGGAAGGGCCAUCGCUCAACGGAUAAAAGGUACUCCGGGGAUAACAGGCUGAUACCGCCCAAGAGUUCAUAUCGACGGCGGUGUUUGGCACCUCGAUGUCGGCUCAUCACAUCCUGGGGCUGAAGUAGGUCCCAAGGGUAUGGCUGUUCGCCAUUUAAAGUGGUACGCGAGCUGGGUUUAGAACGUCGUGAGACAGUUCGGUCCCUAUCUGCCGUGGGCGCUGGAGAACUGAGGGGGGCUGCUCCUAGUACGAGAGGACCGGAGUGGACGCAUCACUGGUGUUCGGGUUGUCAUGCCAAUGGCACUGCCCGGUAGCUAAAUGCGGAAGAGAUAAGUGCUGAAAGCAUCUAAGCACGAAACUUGCCCCGAGAUGAGUUCUCCCUGACUCCUUGAGAGUCCUGAAGGAACGUUGAAGACGACGACGUUGAUAGGCCGGGUGUGUAAGCGCAGCGAUGCGUUGAGCUAACCGGUACUAAUGAACCGUGAGGCUUAACCUU